ACUUCUCCAUGUCGUAAAUAUCACAAUUAGUGUCACAGUUUAUGAGAUGGUGAAACAUGGACAAAGACGGAGGUAGUAUAUAUUAUCAAACCCUACUUUCUAUUUUCGCUUUCUGCUAUGUCUUCUCUAAACCGUAGCGGCGAAUCACCCCCACCUCCUGAAGCGACCGACGAUGCGGAUGACAGAAGCGGAACCGCUGAAAAUUGCUUGUUGAAGCAGGUUCACUUUUUGAGAAGAAGCUAGAAAGCUCAGUCAAACGAGUGGUAUCGAAAAAAGUGUCUCGCAAUAUGUGCCCUGAAAACUCAACGAUGUGACCAAAGGUGCUGAGGAUUGUGGAAGCUUUAUUGGCAUGUUUGAUUUAUGGCUUUAUUAGCUACCCAUGCAUAUUUAUGCCUUGAAUAUCUUCCAGAAAAUAAGAUAAAUGGCUACAAGUUUGUCAGGACCAUUCCAGACCCUAUCAAAUACAACAAAAAACUCGAACUCGAACUCGAACGUGCUCAUGACUAGAUGCAUCAAUGUGCUCGUGAACUUUCGAAUAUUUCUCCUUAAGCCAAUCUAAUCCUAUAGAAUCACUUCUACAAUUAUUAAUAAAUUCCGAGUCAUCUCGAUCAUUCAAUCUUAAGUAUCUAUUACACAAGUGAAAAAGAGACUUAUAGUGGUGUACGUUCUAUUUUUAGUAAAAGCUCAAAAGACUUUUUUAUUUAAAAAGUUUGUAUUGGUUAAGCUUUAUUUUCGUUUGAUUUAAAAAGUUUGUAUUGGGUAAGCUUUAUUUCAAUGUUUGAUUUAUGGCUUUGAUUUGUGUAUUUACUAUUUUUGAUUUAAAAAGUUUGUAUUGGGUAA